GGGUAUAGUUUUUAAUGAUCUGUUAAGGUUAUUUAUUUUGUCAGGAUCGUAAGAUAGCAGCAUAAAAUAAACAUUAAAAGUUUGUAUUAAUACUAUACCUUU
rnacentral:SRP_RNA from 1 species